GAAACCUCUUAUUUGCCAGUUGUUGACAGGUUGCCUGGACCGGGCAGUGUGAGAGAUGAAGAGCUGCUGAUGACAGUUUGGCUGUCGAGCUGUGGCCGGGUACCCAUGGAUGGGAGCAGUGGGCAGAUNUGCUACCCAGGUUUUGGGAUGCUUUGCAGCACUCUGGUGCCUCCCCAGGCUGUCUCAUUCAUCUGUUCUGUCUCUUUUCAGCCCAGUUUCUCAUGUAUUCCGCUCUACUUUGGGCAGCAUUAUGAGCCAAUGAGUUAUCUAUCCUCCUGAAGUCUUGUCUCUGGCACUGAACUGGUAUCUUUAGAAGAUGCCAUCUUGGGAUUGGCAGAAGUCCCUUUUGGAUCCAAAACAAGGGGGAUACAUACGUAUAUUGGUAGAUAGAAUGCCUCUCACAAAGGAGCACACAUGAGAAAAUCCAUCAAAAAGGAAUGCCCUCAAGUCUUACUACGAUGUGGAUUCACUGGAUAGGGACUGAUAAGGCUUUGACUAUUAGUAAUCGCUUAUGAAUGAUGAAGGCUUAUUCUAAAGCUCCUCAGAAUGACAUGAUCAAUUAGCAUUGAUUUUUUGAAUUAAGAUUGUAUUAUCUCAUUACAGUUAAUAAAGGCAGCACACAGCACCACUGCAACAUGAUCAGGCAGUGCUGACAGGAACUCUGCUCUCAGUUCUUGCUGCGCUUGGGAGGAAAUGUAGGUUCUUCCUUUCACACAGUGGAACUGGUGGAAGUUAGAGUGUGCAAGUUAUGAGAGUCCUCAGUGAGAAAAUAAAUCCUUUGGCUUACCAAAGUCUACAUGUUAUUCCUAUUUAAUUUGUUGUUAUUGAUUUUCCUAUUGGCUAAGUCUCAGCUAAUCCACUAAUCAAGUGAGAGUGCUCCCUGGAUUAUUGUACGUUAUGUGGCUCUACUCAAAAGCAACAGAGCAAGGUAAGGAGGUUAUCUUCAGCCUCUAAAUACAGCCAUCUGAAAAAUGAAAUUCUGUUCAAAUGGAUUUACAGGUGCCUCCUGUGAGAAUGAAAGGUGGACCCAAAGCUCCAUUUCAGGCUGUAGGUCUACAGCAGACCUGGCAAGAGGAUGGAUUGGCUCUGUCUGCUUGUCUAAUGCCAACAGAUGAAUCUCCAACCCAAGGCUUGAUGCUGAUUAAAGAAAGGUUAAAGAAGAUUAAAACUAAAGAAGAUCUCCAAGAAACAUCCAUUCUUUACCAGAGGAUUUCUAGUUUUCUAUCCUGUACCCGGCUUCCAGAAGUUAUCUGGUGGAGAGCAGAACUGUGCAGUUGCUUCCAAAACCACCUGUAUCCAGCGCUUCCUGAAAUCCCCUCUGCCCUGCUCAGUUACAUCACUGCUGUUAAUCCCGAGCCUCAGGCAGUGGAGAAGGCGUUUGCAGUGCCAAGCGGAUCUUACUGGCAGACUGCUGAAACUGAUGAGGAAUACUUCCCUAAUGGCAGUGACGUCGAGGCCUGCAGAGACACCGACAGCAAGGUUGCCAUGGCAUUGCUGUUUGAAGCUGUCUCCCAAAGAUCCCUACCUACCCAUCACAUGUUGCAGCUGGUGCUCAGCUCUGGGCUGGAUGCCUGUGGACUCCACCUGCUCUGCUCUCGGCGUGUUGUGCUGCUCUCUGGCUCAGAAAAACUGCCUUCUUCCUAUGCUUCAGAGACCGACAAGGUGCUGGCAUUGGAUGUGAGAGGGCCUAAAGGAAUUAGCACCUUGCAGAAUAUCAUUGGGCCAUCUGACCCGCAGCUGGCUGGCAUGACAGACUGCAGUUCCAUCAAUGCCAUCUGCUGCACGAGGCACGCAGAGCCUCUUGUCUACCUGCCCCAGCAGGACAGCCGUGUGCGCAGGGAGCUGUGCCUCUGGUUUGGAGGGAGGGCUGCUGAUGCAGCACUGCAUGGUGGUAUCCUGGAUCCAACUUCCAGAUGCAACAGAACAAGAUCUCAGAGUCCUUCAUCAACUAGAGAUGAGGAAAAGGUUCAUCUCCAGGGCAUGGUGCAGUCUCAACCUCCAGCAAUGCUUGUCUCACCUACCAAUGGGGACAUCAUUUUGACAGUGUCACCUCUGGUGUCUCCUCACAUGUAUGGUAACGUGAUUUCAAUCUGUACUCAUCGAGGGUUUGCUCUGCAAGGAAUCAGACAGCUGCAGCUUUCACACAAGCAAGCCGUUGUGCUGAGCAUGACAACAAGUCAGAUUGCUGUAUUUUGCCCUGGCAAGAUUUCUAGUUUACCUGAGAACAGUUCUGCAGGAGGAGAGCUUUCUGCUGGACCACGCAUGCACUGUCUUGUCUUGCUGCUGAGAAAGGAGGAUGCUGGUUGUCAUAUUCUUGCAUUGGUAAAAGGACUGGUGAAUGAACUGGCAAAGCAAGGCCUCCUUGGUAACAGGCAGAGCAGCCUGCCUGCCACAGCCGGGCUGGACCCCUCCAUGUGCUUCCAUGUGGCUCCUUACACUGAGAACUUGCUGCAGAUGCUGGGAGGAAACUUCAGUGCCGUUCCAGACCCGUGUAGCAUUCCUCUGGAUUUCUUCUGCAACCGAAUGUUUGCUUCCGAUCCUGACAUGGAGCAGGUAGUCCUGCUGACACUGGUUGGAAUGGAUGCUAUCGACAGUGCUGGAGAGCUCCUUUGCCAGAUCCUUCUUCCUGGGAGCAAUCAUCAGCCUCAGAGUGCAGGAGGACCUGAUUCAGGGUUUGAGCUUCUAGGUCUCAAGUGGUUGCCCCACCUCACCCGACGUCAGGCAAAAGAAAUAACCCCUUUUGAGGUUGGAGAUGCAUGCUGGUGGAGAAGCCUCGAUACACUGAUGUCUAAUCCAGUCCUCGUGUGUGCGUUGCGGCGGAUCAAUGCCUUCCAAGUCCUUGGGGAUGCAUUAAAGAGAUUAACACAGUGCGGGGAGGAGCUAAGCGAAAGUAACAGAGCUCUGCAGAGGGUCAUGGCCUUGACCCCAGAGGUAGCAUUCAGACAAGCAAUCCUUUUCUUCACAGAGAAGGAUCUUGUAGCUGAUCCAGAACGCCGCCCUACUGCCAAAUACCUGCCACCACCUGGCAAGGCAUCCAGGGCUGGAGUGGAAGAGACACAGAGGGGCCAUGCAGAAUCACUGUUUGCCUACUUGCAUGCAGGAGCCCAGAUCCUCUGCACGGUGCUGCUGAUCAAACCCGGUGCCUGGAGCCAUCAUCUUGCGAGGAUCCUCCGAAAGCUUGACCUAGAAAGAUUCACCGUGGUUGGGAUGAAACACGUACACCUGGGGCCAGACAUCGCCGUACGACUCCUUUCUUCUGAAGCAAAGCAGGAUCCUGCUGUUCUAGAAGCUCACUGUACCUACCUUACCUCAGGCACUUCUCUCGUGCUGUGUCUUCAGAGACCAAAUGCUGUGAAGAAGCUGAUGGACAUGCUGGGGCCAGAGGACCCUGAAGUAGCCCAAGCACUAAAUCCAUGCUUCUGGAGGGCUCAGUAUGGCAUCAGCACUGUCCAAAAUGGAUUUUAUGGCUCCGGAUCCUACCAGGUAUCUGUCCGGGACGUCAGGCUGUUUUUCCCAGAAGGUCUGUGCUGUGCUGAGUGCCAGACGCUGGAGGAGGAGGAGAUGCAUAACCUGAAACGUGACCCCAUAGUCAGCGUGGAAAUCAACAAGCAGCGCAAAAUCACAAAACACGAAACAGGAGGGCAACUCGAUUUCCUGGGCUCUGAGCAGCCACGUGAUCUUGGUCGGCCAGCGCUCAGUAACCUCUGCCAAACCACCUGCCUCAUCCUGCCGGCCGUAAUCCUCUGGGGUUCGGACCCACCUUAUGUUGAACUGCUCGAUCAGCUUAUUGGCGAAGGUUUCACGGUGACUGGAGUACGCCUCACUGUGCUGGAUGCCCCACAAGCUCACUGCAUCUCAGAGAUACUGAGCAGGGCCAAGUGUGGUAUGGCAGCAAAGUGCUCCCUCCUAAUGGACGGUCUGUGCCUGGUGGUAGCAGCAGAGCGAGACAACGCGGUCAUUGGCUUCGGCUCCCUGCUGGACAGCCUGCGCUGGCAGAAGCAGUCGGUGCUGGACAUGGCGCAGCAUCUCCUCUAUCCCCAGAAUGAGAAACAGGCUGAAGAGCUGCUCUGUUGUCUUUUUGACUCCCUGACGUCUGACAGCACCUGCCGCAUCGAAUCCCAGAGCUGCUAG
ensembl:lncRNA